rnacentral:lncRNA from 1 species
GGCCGCCGCCCGGGCCCUCCAGAGCCCCAGCAUCGGCACGGAGCCCAGCUGGGCGCCCGGGGCAUGAAUAUUUCAGAGCUGGCGAAGCUGCCCUCUGCCGAUGUCAUGGCACCGGCUGCUGUGGCAACUCGACGAAUCCCCCAAAGGGCCAGGAAUGAAGCGGGUGGAAACGGCCCCAGAUGUGUCCUGUGGCUCUCUCCACACUGGCACACAGAAGAUGUGCCUCCCUCUUUGUGCCUGCUGGUGCCUAUUCUGGAGAAAGGCAUAGUGUCAGCAUUGAGCCCUUCCCAAAGUGGGGUCGUGUGUGACGGCAGAGCCGGCUGGGACUGCAGACCACAGCUGGGGAGCUGGCAGCCCCCACGGAAAUGUGCACAGCCCGAAGAGGGGAACAGUGAGCAAGACCUGCCCCCUCUGUGCUCCAAGCCCCUGGCCCCACUGUCACAUACCAAAACACCGAGAGUCCCUUAAGAAAGAUUUGUGGUCAUUCGGUCCCCUGUCUCUGGGUUCUACUGCAGUCAGACCACCCCAGAAAAGAGCUCACCCCCAUUUCAAUCACAG